rnacentral:rRNA from 1 species
GAGAUGAGAAUGUGCCUUCGGGAACCGUGAGACAGGUGCUGCAUGGCUGUCGUCAGCUCGUGUUGUGAAAUGUUGGGUUAAGUCCCGCAACGAGCGCAACCCUUAUCCUUUGUUGCCAGCGAUUAGGUCGGGAACUCAAAGGAGACUGCCAGUGAUAAACUGGAGGAAGGUGGGGAUGACGUCAAGUCAUCAUGGCCCUUACGACCAGGGCUACACACGUGCUACAAUGGCGCAUACAAAGAGAAGCGACCUCGCGAGAGCAAGCGGACCUCAUAAAGUGCGUCGUAGUCCGGAUUGGAGUCUGCAACUCGACUCCAUGAAGUCGGAAUCGCUAGUAAUCGUGGAUCAGAAUGCCACGGUGAAUACGUUCCCGGGCCUUGUACACACCGCCCGUCACACCAUGGGAGUGGGUUGCAAAAGAAGUAGGUAGCUUAACCUUCGGGAGGGCGCUUACCACUUUGUGAUUCAUGACUGGGGUGAAGUCGUAACAAGGUAACCGUAGGGGAACCUGCGGUUGGA